AUUACUUUGGCAGAAUAGUGCUUUAAAUUUAGAAUUUAAUUAUGUAUAAAUUAUAAUUAUACAGGUAAUA
rnacentral:tRNA from 1 species